GCUUUGGUGGCCAAGUGGUAAGGCGUCGCACUCGGUAGGUCCCGCCUGAACACACAGCUCCACAGCGACCAAUCUACUAACCAAUAAUCAGUAAUGCGAAGAUCGGGGGUUCGAUUCCCCUCCGAAGCA